AUAUAAAUAAUACAAAUUAUUUAAACUGAAAUUGUGUUACACAAGUGCCAAUUGUAAUUUCAAAUUGGUCGGUGAAGAAUUACAGAUGAAGUUGUAGCGCGAAAAAAAGGGGUAUUGGAGUUGCUUUAACAACAUUCAG